GAUGAACGCUAGCUACAGGCUUAACACAUGCAAGUCGAGGGGCAGCGGGAUUGAAGCUUGCUUCAAUUGCCGGCGACCGGCGCACGGGUGAGUAACGCGUAUCCAACCUUCCGUACACUCAGGGAUAGCCUUUCGAAAGAAAUAUUAAUACCUGAUGGUAUGAUGAGAUUGCAUGAUAUCAUCAUUAAAGAUUUAUCGUUGUACGAUGGGGAUGCGUUCCAUUAGGUAGUAGGCGGGGUAACGGCCCACCUAGCCAACGAUGGAUAGGGGUUCUGAGAGGAAGGUCCCCCACAUUGGAACUGAGACACGGUCCAAACUCCUACGGGAGGCAGCAGUGAGGAAUAUUGGUCAAUGGACGAGAGUCUGAACCAGCCAAGUAGCGUGAAGGAUGAAGGUCCUACGGAUUGUAAACUUCUUUUAUAAGGGAAUAAACCCUCCCACGUGUGGGAGCUUGUAUGUACCUUAUGAAUAAGCAUCGGCUAACUCCGUG
rnacentral:rRNA from 1 species